GCUCGGCGGUGCAGAGGCAAAGGCCUGUUUCUGCAAAGACUUUGAGGACCCAUGACUCUUCCUCAACCUCCAGACCGCUGGAGGUCCCUGAUAGUUGAAUAAGCUAAGUGCAGUGUGCCCGCCUAGUUCUUUCCUGGAAGAUGAAACGCAGCUCCCGAGUCGGGAGACGGAAGAAUGGAUAAACAUUCCUCAAUUGCUGUUGAUAGGUUCUCACCCCAGAACCCGGGCAGUCGGCCUCAUGCUCCAGAGUGCAGGUCCCGUAAGGCACCCAAGGGGAGCCGUCAAUUAGAGCCGUGCUUGAGCCUAAGGCUGACCUGAACCGUUUGAAGGCAGAUCUUCCAUGGAGCGCCCCGGUCCUUUUCUGGAAAGGUCAAAGGGACGAGAGGGGGUCUCUGCAGUGUCCUGGAUCUGGUUUCAACCUCACCUUCUCCAUGUAUGAGAAAACAAGUCACUUGGAUUCACUGUGCCUCGGUUUCCCCAGAUGGCGAGCAGGACUCAGUCUUUUGCACGUGGAGCCCAGCCAGCGCCACUGGGAAAGUGGCAAAGAGAAAAGCCGGCUCUGGCCCCGGGCUGCAUCAGAGCAGUCGAUUGAGCUCUUCGAUUCCCAGCACUUCAACACUGCUUGCCUCUUAAGGAUUUUCUGAAGGUCAUUGAUGCUGACAGGGAGUGUGGAAAAAGGAUGUUUAUACCUGGGGCUGGGAGACGCCCUCUCUCAGGCUGGGAGAGACUGGCAGAGCUGCCUGAUAAUGAGAACAGUGCCAUCCACGCCGUUCUGAGCACAUGGAAACUGAUCUCUUACUAGAACCAAGUCAACAAGAGCUACCCUUGGACUCUAGAUGCCUGGGAGGGUCUGGAGUCGUCAGGCAGAAGGAGAAGGUGGAGCGGGUCUUCCCGGAGGCCGGCUCCCACAGGGGCGGCCAAGGCUCUGGGCCUCUCGGCGUGCCUCUGUGGAUCCUGUUGGAUCCAGAACCGUCUGGAUCACCUGAAGAGUUAUUUGAAACCAGCUGAUUUUCCAAGGGGGCAGUUAACAUGGGUGGGGAUAUCACAGGCAGGUGCACUGGCUUCAGAAUUAGAGGCCAAAAGUGUGGACUAACUCAGUUCUGCUCUCCAGCAAAACCCUUCGCAGCUCAGGCUAACCUGUCUGUGAGUGGAGGUGGGCAGCUCCUGUCUCACAGUCCUGGUGGGGGUGAGGUGGAAGGCCCCGGGGGGGCACCCUACAGUGAAUUCUGUAGCUCCCUCCCCUUUAUCUCCCAUGUCGUUUACAGUGUAGCUGGGGGUCAGCACGCGGUCCCUACUUUAUAUGCUUUGUUCGGUGAUUUCGAUAUUUAAGCCUCUGUCAAUUCAAUCCAAACUUCGCUACAGAAAGGGCAAGAUGCCAGGAAAUGCUGAUAGUGGCUAAGCAUUGUUCUUCAUCUUGAACAGUGGUUCUAAGUUGACUCUGUGGUGUAUUUCUAGUGGCAAUACUAGAUAUUUUCCUUCAUGGCAAAAAUGAGAAUCUUUAUUAAAACAACUACAUAUUAUUAUUUAACAUCCUGAUUCCAAAGUGACAGCAGUAUGGCACGGCUUAUUAAGAAAGUUUAUAUCUAGGUGCUUUGACAGUUUACUAAAUCUUUUUUUAAAAAGUUAUUUAUUUAUUUAUUUUUGAGAGAUGGGAUC